ensembl:snoRNA
ACCCUGCAGUUCCCUUUCCCAUUGGAUCAAAACACUGGUCUGGGUGGUGGUAAAAGGAGGAAAAGAAACAUUGAAGCUGGCCUUCGGUGCUCUUGGAGCUCAGCUAGUUUCAAACAAGG